ensembl:snRNA U6 U6 spliceosomal RNA
GUGUUUGCUUCGGUAGCUUAUAUACUAAAAAAUUGGAAUGAUACAGAGAAGAUUAGCAUGGCCCCUGCGCAAAGAUGACAUGCAAAUUCGUGAAGUGUUCCACUUUGAG